CCUCCUCCUCUUCUUCUUCUUCUCUUCUUCUUCUCUUCUUCUUCUUCUCUUUGGAAGAUCUACACGUCGCCCCUCUUCGAUUUUUCCUCCCAUCCGCUAACCAUCUCUCUCCCUCUCUCACAUACGCCGGAAAAGACUAGACUUUUGGUCAACAACGCGCAAAAUCCCUCUCUUUCUCUCCUUCAGCCGAUGCAACCACCCAACACCCCUUGCACCGCUGAACUCACUGGAAAUCAAGGUCAAGGGAGAUGUCAUGGCUAUGGGCUGAAGCUUUGAGAAAAAGAGAAUGAAAAAUGAAAUUUGCUUUGAUUGAAGGAUAGAGGGAAGUGAUUAUUGAUAAUUAUAGGUAUGUUCUCUCUCCCUUUCUUACAAUAAGGAUAGUAGCAACAAAAAUUACUACAUGUUCUAUAUUGAAAGGAAAAGCAAAAAAAUGAUGGUGAAUUAAGAUUUAUUUUGUAUGGUAGAAUUUUAUUUGCCACUUACUAUGCUAGAUCUUUCCAAGAGGAGUAAAUUUGAAAAUGUCGAAAUACACCAUCUGCUUGAAACAUAAACCGCGAUGUAUGUUAUACACAUUGGAAAUGUAUGAAUGUGUAUGUUGAAACUUAAGCCUAUACACUUUCCAAGAGAAUUUAUGUAUGUUAUCUAUUUGGUUUUUGACUUUAAGUUUUUGAAACUUAAGCCUAUACACUUUUUUUACCUCUACUUUUAAUCAACGUUUUUAAACUAUAUUUUCUUCCUAUGACUACCUUAUGACAUUUUGAAUAAUUGAUUGAAUUGAGGAUUAGCAUAAAGUUCUCUUACUUCAAGGACGUUGUCGUUAUUUGUUCAAGGCUUGAAGAAUCCUCGAGAGAGUGACAAUGCUUGUUGAAUUUUUAUGAAAAUGCAACAUUGAAAAGGUUGAUGAGUUUCCAAUUUCAAAAGUCUACCUAAAGCUCUAUUGUUUGUUGAACUCAAAGGUAAAAAAAAGUAAAGUAUGUGGACUUGCACCGAAUAGAGCCAUGGAUAUGUCAAACUGUUCAACUUUAAGGACUACAAAUUGUCAUACAUGUAUUGUCGUAGCGUUUUUGUUGUAAGGACUAAGAACGACCCAACUUUAAGGACUACAAAUGGUUAUUUUGCUCUACUUUAAACAUUGUGAACUUUUCAUUGAUGAAAUUUGCAUACCUUGGACAUUUUUUUUU